GGAUGAAGAACGUAGCGAAAUGCGAUAAGUAAUGUGAAUUGCAGAAUUCAGUGAAUCAUCGAAUCUUUGAACGCACCUUGCGCUCCUUGGUAUUCCGAGGAGCAUGCCUGUUUGAGUGUCAUGAAAUUACUCAACCUUGCUGGCUUUUGUAAAGUUAAGUUAGGCUUGGAUUAUGGAAGUGUGCAGGCUUUCUGAAGUCAGCUCUUCUGAAAUAUAUUAGCAAAAUUGUUGCUGGCUCAUCAUUAGUAUGAUAAUUAUCUAUACUAUCAACUGAGUUUGGUAUCUUCUUAUUGGAGAAAAUUUUGCUUCUAAUUGUCUUCUUUUUAUAAGAAACAUUUGAUAAUUUUGACCUCAAAUCAGGUAGGACUACCCGCUGAACUUAAGCAUAUCAAUAAGCGGAGGA
rnacentral:misc_RNA from 1 species